rnacentral:lncRNA from 1 species
UUAUAUAUAUGUGUAUAUAUUUUUUUAUUCCAAAUAUUUUUUGGGGUUUUUGUUUUUUCUAUUUAUUGGCUUCCCAUUGUGCUUAAAUGCUGAAGUUGGUUUUCUUGAUUCUGUUGUGCUAUUUUUUGGUGUUGAAUCUGAAAGGGUGUUUAAAAAGAAUGCUUUUUUGGUGUUGUUUUGUUGAGGAUUUUAGUUUUUGUUUCUCUUUCUUGAUUUUUAUUAAAUGAGUGAUCUUUUUUUAACUAAUGUUUCUGGAAUUGAACUUCUUGUAUAAUGACUGAUAUGGUUUUUUUUUGUUAAUCUCAAAUAUUUUGUGUUUGUUUUUGUUUUUGUAUUUAUUGGCUUCCCAUUGUAUUUUCUUGUUUUACUUGUGUUUUUUGGGCUAAAUGCUGAAGUUGGUUAUCUUGUUUUGUGUCUUUUUUGGCUAUUGAAUCUGAAAGGGUAUUCAAAAAGAUUGUUUUUUUAGUGUUGUUUUGCUGAGGGUUUUAGUUUUUCUGUUUCUUGGCUAAAUGCUGAAGUUGGUUAUCUUGUUUUGUGUCAUCUUUUUUGCUAUUGAAUCUUAAAGGGUAUUCAAAAAGUUUUUUUUUUUUGUGUUGUUUUGCUGAGGAUUUUAGUUUUUCUGUUUCUUGGUUGGUUUUCUUGUUUUGUGACUUUUUUUGCUACUGAAACUAGUGGUAUUCAAAAAGAUUGUUUUUUGGUGUUGUUUGGCUAAGGAUUUUAGUUUUGCUUAUCUGAGUAUUUCUUGUUUCUCUUUCUUGGUUUUGUUAAAUGGGUGAUCUCUUUUAUUUUUCUUAAUCUAGUAAUGUUGCUAGGAUUGAAUUUCUUAGUUGCAAUGUGUUAAUUUGAUUCUAUUGUUUGUUGUGUUUGGUUAUCACACUAUUUUGUAUUAGUAGCUAUGUUUUCUUCAUCGUGUUUUUAUGUUUUAUACCUACUUUGAUUUGCUCUACUCGAGGGUCCUCCGGAAAAAGCCUCUCUACCUCCACGAGGUAGGGGUAAGGUCUGCCUAUUACUGGACCCUGCUUGUUGGAUUUCACUGGAUAUGUUGUUGUUGUUGUUGUAAUGUCUUGAUUGGAAAGAGGUAAAAAGGGUUUGUAAUUAGAUGAAUGUUCUAGUUUGCUGCUGCAAUUUUAAUAUCAGUUGCCUGUGAAUUUUGGUUUGAUUAAAGAUACCUCUUUUAUUCAAUUUUAACAAACAUUAAUGGCUGGGUACCCAAGUUGUGGAAUUGAGGGCGCUGAGAUGGAUGUGUGGGCAUACUAAAAGCGAUAGGAUCAAGAAUGAGGAUAUCCGGGACAAGGUGGGAGUGGCUUCCGUGGUGGACAAGAUGAGAGAAGCGAAGUUGAGAUGGUUUGGGUAUGUGAAGAGGAGAAGCGCAGAUGUCCCCGUGAGGAGGUUCUAGAGUUCGGAUAUAGUGGAUACAAGGAAGGUAGAGGUAGGCCAAAAAAGUAGUGGGGAGAGGUGAUUAGGCAGGACAUGACGCAACUUCAGCUUACUGAGGACAUGGCCUUUAAUAGGAGGGUGUAAAGGUUGCAAAUUAGGGUAGAAGGUUAGUAGGCAGUGGGGGUGUUGUCUGCUGUAGUAUUAGCCUUAUUCUUGUAGUCUAUCAAUUUUGAUUUCAUAUCAUCAUCUGUGUUUAUUGUGUUUCGGUUAUCGCACUAUUUUGUUACUGUUACUGUUUUGUUCAACUAGUGGCUAUGUUUUCUUCAUUUUGUUUUUACCCUAUUCAUACCUACUUUGAUUUGCUGUACACAAGCCCGUGAGGUAGAGGUAAGGUCUGCGUACACAUUUCAUUGGGUAUGCUGUUGUUGUUGGUGUUGAAUUUUCAAUUUAAUGCUAGCAAAUAUAUUGGAAAAUCAAACUGAUCCUAUUGCUGAUUUU